CCCUUAGAUGUUCUGGGCCGCACGCGCGCUACACUGAUGCAUUCAACGAGUGUACCUUGGCCGAGAGGCCUGGGCAAUCUUUUGAACGUGCAUCGUGAUAGGGAUAGAUUAUUGCAAUUAUUAAUCUUGAACGAGGAAUUCCUAGUAAACGCAGAUCAUCAAUCUGCAUUGAUUACGUCCCUGCCCUUUGUACACACCGCCCGUCGCUACUACCGAUUGAAUGGUUUAGUGAGGACUCCUGAUUGGCGCCGCCGCCCCGGCAACGGAGCAGCGGACUGCCGAAAAGUUGUUCAAACUUGAUCAUUUAGAGGAAGUAAAAGUCGUAACA
rnacentral:rRNA from 1 species